GCGGCGUAUUAACUUGUUGGUGGGGUAACGGCCUACCAAGGUGAUGAUACGUAGCCGAACUGAGAGGUUGAUCGGCCACAUUGGGACUGAGACACGGCCCAAACUCCUACGGGAGGCAGCAGUAGGGAAUCUUCCACAAUGGACGAGAGUCUGAUGGAGCAACGCCGCGUGAAUGAAGAAGGCCUUCGGGUCGUAAAAUUCUGUUGUCAGAGAAGAACGUGCGUGAGAGUAACUGUUCACGUAUUGACGGUAUCUGACCAGAAAGCCACGGCUAACUACGUGCCAGCAGCCGCGGUAAUACGUAGGUGGCGAGCGUUGUCAGGAUUUAUUGGGCGUAAAGGGAACGCAGGCGGUCUUUUAAGUCUGAUGUGAAAGCCUUCGGCUUAACCGAAGUAGUGCAUUGGAAACUGGAAGACUUGAGUGCGGAAGAGGAGAGUGGAACUCCAUGUGUAGCGGUGAAAUGCGUAGAUAUAUGGAAGAACACCAGUGGCGAAAGCGGCUCUCUGGUCUGUAACUGACGCUGAGGUUCGAAAGCGUGGGUAGCAAACAGGAUUAGAUACCCUGGUAGUCCACGCCGUAAACGAUGAGUGCUAAGUGUUGGAGGGUUUCCGCCCUUCAGUGCUGCAGCUAACGCAUUAAGCACUCCGCCUGGGGAGUACGGUCGCAAGACUGAAACUCAAAGGAAUUGACGGGGGCCCGCACAAGCGGUGGAGCAUGUGGUUUAAUUCGAAGCAACGCGAAGAACCUUACCAGGUCUUGACAUCUUCUGACAAUUCCAGAGAUGGAACGUUCCCUUCGGGGACAGAAUGACAGGUGGUGCAUGGUUGUCGUCAGCUCGUGUCGUGAGAUGUUGGGUUAAGUCCCGCAACGAGCGCAACCCUUAUUGUCAGUUGCCAUCAUUAAGUUGGGCACUCUGGCGAGACUGCCGGUGACAAACCGGAGGAAGGUGGGGAUGACGUCAAAUCAUCAUGCCCCUUAUGACCUGGGCUACACACGUGCUACAAUGGACGGUACAACGAGUCGCUAACUCGCGAGGGCAAGCUAAUCUCUUAAAGCCGUUCUCAGUUCGGAUUGCAGGCUGCAACUCGCCUGCAUGAAGUCGGAAUCGCUAGUAAUCGCGAAUCAGCAUGUCGCGGUGAAUACGUUCCCGGGCCUUGUACACACCGCCCGUCACACCAUGAGAGUUUGUAACACCCAAAGUCGGUGGGGUAACCUUUUGGAGCCAGCCGCCUAAGGUGGGACAGAUGAUUGGGGUGAAGUCGUAACAAGGUA
rnacentral:rRNA from 1 species